rnacentral:rRNA from 1 species
UACGUAGGGUGCAAGCGUUAAUCGGAAUUACUGGGCGUAAAGCGUGCGCAGGCGGUGAUGUAAGACAGAUGUGAAAUCCCCGGGCUCAACCUGGGAACUGCAUUUGUGACUGCAUCGCUGGAGUGCGGCAGAGGGGGAUGGAAUUCCUCGUGUAGCAGUGAAAUGCGUAGAUAUGCGGAGGAACACCGAUGGCGAAGGCAAUCCCCUGGGCCUGCACUGACGCUCAUGCACGAAAGCGUGGGGAGCAAACAGG